GAGCAUCUCCUUUACACGGAGGGGGUCAUCAGUUCGAAUCUGGUAUCGCCCACCACUCAUCAUCCAUGUUUAA
rnacentral:tRNA from 1 species